GUAAUAUGUUAAUUUGCAGCCCCAUGAAACACAACUCUGUUGAGGUUUAGUCACAUUGUGACUGCUGUCUCUCUGCCCAAAGGAAUAAUUACGUUUUGGUUCGAAUUACAGGGUUCGAAAUUAUUAGUGCCAUCAUGCCAAAGGCACACCUAAAUUCUAAUUCCUAACCUGCGUGCCCCUUUGGCACACUUAAUUUAUUGAUGAAAGUGACUGACGAGUAUUUCUGUUGAUAAUCAUGACUUGUAUGUAAAAAUAAUUUUUAUAAAUAUGUGCAAAAACAAACCUGAAUUUCCUUCCUGGAAAACAAUGAUCAACACGACUGAAGUCUUUCAAAACUGAGUCCCCAGACACAGCAGUUGUAAUCACGUCAAAAUAGACUUUAUGAACCUACCUGUGAUAUCAUUCAUUCAUUACAUCUGUCAUGUUACACAAUGUCUGAAAUACGUAUUUGAUUUUAAUUCAUUAUUUUUUAUCGAUAGAUUAAAAGAUUAUUCACUAGAUCUUUUUCCUGCAAUGUUAUUGAAAAUAAAAUUCUCUGACACACUCCUCGACAAUGGGUCCACAUCGAACAAUUCAAAGAGCAAAAUAAAAACGUGUCAAUCAAAUCUUUAAGUAUAUCAUACAAAGAAAGAAAUAAAAUCAACAAAAAUAUAUCUAAAAGUUGUCAAACUUACACCUGAGUUAUUAUUUCCAUCUUUUCGUGCGAUCGCAUGUAAUGCAAGUUAAAUGACAUCUUGGCUUUUGCCGCCUCAAUUUCUCCGCACAGACUCACGAUAUGGCUGAAAUAUUGCCGAUGUGACGUUAAAUAUUAACUCACUCACUCACUCUCCGCACAGACAAUGUUUAAUGCCAAAAAAUAUGCAUGAAAAAUCUGUCACAACUCGUAACCUAGCACAAUACAUCCAUGAAGUUUCAUAUUAUAUAGUUCCUAAUUUCCUGCUUAAAACGUUCAGAAUAACAGGAUUUAACAAAAACCUUUCGUUAAAAUCUGAAAUUCACGGUACCAUUGAUGUAAUUUGAUUGGCUGCCUUAGGUCACGUGCUCAAAUUUGACCAAUCACGAAUCUUGUAGCAGAUUUCGGCAGGAAAGCGUCUUUAGAAACCAAUCAAAUCGCAUGUUACAGUAAUAUAAAGACUCUAGGCGUAUUUACUGUCGCAUUGAUGACAAAAUAAGCUUUGUAGAUAAUGGUGUGUCACGUGGCACAUGUUAUUAAUGUGAAGCUUUGAAAACAGAGAUAUUUCUUCAUGCCACUGAGUGGACAGAUGCUGUUAUCAGGAAAAUGAUGAUGAAAGAUAUUAUUUUCCGUUCUAAUCCAACAAUAAGUUUGUGUGUUGUAUUGCAAUGAUUGGUAUGUGUCUGUGUACUGCCUCCCCUGCUCUAAUUUUUUAUAAAUAAUUUUCCGAUUACUUAAACAAGAAGAAAAAAGUUAAAACAAAUAGGUGAGUGGAUUUAAUGAAAUCUCAUAUUUGCCGAAAAUCGUCAAGUUUUCGCUUCCUUGGUCCUCAACCUGGACGUUAUGAAUGUGGUUGUAUUAGUCUUAUUUACAACACACAUAAUUUAGUUGUAAAUGCAUUAUUUAAAUAAACGGUAGGUUUAGACCGUUCAAAUGGUGUAUAACGUGUAGUAGCAAAGAUCAGAUGUUUUACAAGCAGAUAGGCUGAAAUCCCAGACACUGUCAAAGUUGAUAAAUGUGACUCAGUGCAUACAGAGGGGAAGAGGGACCACACCCUAUGGACACAGAACAGCUACAACUGUAACUGAUCAGUGCUUAUGUGGCUACUACCAGUUGUGAACAGUAGCUCUUAAAUCUUGAGACUAUUAUAAUCGGUAUUGCAGUUUUUAACUAAGAUUCAAAGGCAAUGAGUAACUAAAAAUGAGUAACUUGAAUUAUGAUGAACUAUUAAAACAGUUUAGAAUAGAAGCCAAUGAUGUGUUUCUUAGCACACCUAAUAAUGUGAUGGCACACUUAAUUUGGCAUAACUGUGCCCAUUGGCACACUUGAAAUAAAUUUAAUUUUGAUCCCUGAAUUAUUUAUUUUCACAUUUGACUUCAAACCUGAUAUGCCUUUUAUAUGUCCCUGGGAAAUUUUCUGACAUUUCAUUGGAUAUUAAACAUCAAGGUCACGGAGUGUAAUCCAGGCCUCAAAAUGCUUGUGUGUACAAUAUGGUGAGAGGUAUAAACUUUAUUCAUGAUUACCUGUUGGAAAGAGCUUUAAAAGCAUGGCUCUGACCUAAUUUCUACCCUCGUGUACCACCACUUGCCCAGGUGAACGGUGCUCUCAAUAUGAAACUAGUUAUGUGGGUCACCAUUGGAGUAUGCUAAGUUCCAUUUUGUUCAAUGCAAGGGACACCCGCAGGAUACAUAGCCUAUACAUAGCAUAUGCCAUUCCAAAGAAACCUGAAUGGUGACGAAGAGGUUUUUUGAGGCUAUCAUUCGUGUGAAUAACGAUGGUAACAGGUGGCAAUUGUUUGUCUGUUAACGCCACACUCGGCAAUAUUCCAGCUAUGUGACGGCAGUUUCUAAAUAAUCGAGUCUGGACCAGACAAUUCAGUGAUUUACAUCAUGAGCAUCGAUCCAUGCAACUGGGACCGAUGACAUGCAUCACCCAAGUCAGCAAGCCUGACCAUCCGAUCCCGUUAGUCGCCUCUUAUGACAAGCAUGGGUUGCUGAAGACGGGUCACAGUGGCAAGUGUGCAGUAGGCAUUUCGUCAAGGGGCACACAAGUGGAAAUCCGGAUAGUUCUAACUACCUAACAAUGGUAAACAACCCGCUACAUUUUAGAACCAAGAACCGACAAGAUCAGUGAGCAAGUUUUGUAAAAGUUCCAGCAUGGUACAUCACCUUGACCUCUCAGUCAGCGGAUAGAUCAAUGACCUUCAUCAAGUGGACCUGGGUUAAAAAGCAACUUGAUCAUCAAAAGAAGAAACUUCACUUAAAUUGAAUUUGAUGUCUCAAUUGUCAAAUUUGCUUUUUGCCCAGUCAUUGGAUUAAAAGUGGGUAAAUUCACGGACUGCUUCCAGUUAUCCUGUACUUGAUAGAGUACACUACCUGCUCCUUGUUAUCAGUUCUUGAUGUGUACUACUGGAGCAGCAAGCAGUCAUCAUGAGGAGAAUGUUCUUAUGAUCACUACAACUUUGUAUGUUGCAUUUUAUGCAUCUACUGUAUUUAUACAAAAUAUGUAUCAGAAUUUCAUAGUCUUCAUCUCUCAUUGCCUUUAAUAAAAUAAAACCACUAAUUACAGAUGUGGACACCAUAACUAUAAGAAAAUGUUUUACGUUUUUCUGUAAGUCGAUGUUAUUACCAAUAUAGAUCAGCUUCCAAACAGCAAUUAUCUGAAGUCUGGAUAGAAAGGUUAGCAGAGAACCAAGUUAUGAUGAUCUCAAUUUCCACACUUCCCUCAGCACAGAUCUGGAAAAACUAUAUAACUUUUUAGAAGAUUUGUAAUCAUCUCUUACUUUCUAAUUUAUCAGGUUACUGUUUUAAGAUUAAGCUUUUUAUAGAGCAAGAAAUAUUUAUCACCUGUUGAUAUUUGGAAUAUUUUCAAUGUAAAAAAAAACUUAAAUGUGUAUAAAACUAACAAAUCUGUUCAUGUCAGUAUCAUGAUUUCCAAUGAAAAUUAAUCAUUUUACUUUUAAGAUGAUUGUCACAAGAAAUGAAUGUUAAAGUAUUUAUGACAUGAUAUCGUAUAGCUUUUUUGUGUCAUGAUGAGGUUCGCAUUGAAACACAAGCCAAUAGUUUCAGUAAUUAUAAUAUUUUCAAAGGGAACGUUUGGUAAAUAUUCACUCAUAGCUGCUGAAUGGACUAGAACAGUUUUCCCCAUGAAAAGUUUAAUUUCUCAGCAGUUGAGUGGACCAAAUCAUUCUGAACAUCCGAAAAUGCUCGCUUAAGUGGUUUCGUUUUGGAAGACUUCUCGGCUAAAGCACAUUUUUAUGACAUUAUUAUGAUUUCUUUUCUUCUCAGUUGUAAGUAUUCCGUGAAGAUCUUGGGUUUAUAAUGGGUCUCAAGCAACCCAUGCUUGCCAUAAAAGGCGAGCAUCUGCCUGAGGCAAAGGUGUUAAGUGACUUUAAAAGUCCAAUUUCCAGUCCUGAUCGUAGCGCCACCAGUGGCUAUUAUGAGUUGAAAACUUCUAUGUUCCUCCGAUAGAUCAGAUUCCAUCUCUCAUGUCUCUUACAUUUGCUUCCAACAAAAUUUGCGGCGCUCAGUCGAGACGAUCUGCUUGAUAAUCAAGAUCUCUGGUCUUACCCUGUGAAGAGCAUCAACUCACAUGAGCAUGUUGAUUAAAAACAUGAAAGAAUUUGCUGAACAUCUGUCGACUCCCAGUUGGCGGUACACAUGCUCUGCAAAUCCUGCAGUCGGCCGAAAUCUGCACGUUGAAAUCCAUGUUGUUUACGAACCAGAUGUCUUGUUUGUUACACGAUUUGGAUUAGACUAUGCAUAGACUCGUUAGUCCAGUCAAAUAUAACUCCAUAAUUGCAGCCUAUUUUGGCAAGGGUGGAAACUGGACUUUUAUGGUCAUUUUAGACAACAAACUAACCAAAGACAUUAACAAAACAUGACAAGGUUUAUCAAUCAUAACCUUAAAUGGUAUCUUUAUUUUGAAAUGCUUAGGAAAAUUUUCCCCCUGAUUCCAUGGAGACAAAUUGGACUUAAUCUGAAAUGGCCUUGGUGUUUUUGUGAGAACAGAAUUUGAAAGCCUUUAAAUAUCUUUAUCGAGACAUUGAAAAUGUGUUUCAAAUAAAAUAAAAUAAAAUAAAAUAAAAUCUAAUCGGGUUGUGUGAUUAUUUUUUUCCUUCAAAUUGACAGUUGCUGUCAUGAAGUAUUAUCUCAGGACAAACAUCUGAAAAUGGUUCCUAUUGCUAUUUUUUUAGACUGAGUUUCAAGGAAAAUAAAGAUUCUGUGAUCAAGUUGUGUCAUUUCUUUUUUCAUGUCAACGUAUCUAUUACUGUAGGAUAAACAUUGAGUGAGAAAUGCUGCCUACAUAUAUCUACUACUUUUGACAUUACAGCUUGUUGCAAAUUUCAAAUAAGCUGUUCUAACACCAAUGCGACAUGCCAUAAAAUUUGUGUAUAAGCCCAUCUCUCACCGUAUGGUCACUCCAAUAUCUAAAGAAUACUAACAUUUGAAUUCCUGCCAUUUGUAAAUUAGCCCAUCCUUUAGGUUUUGUGUUCGAUGUUUGGAUGGCCAAUUGGGCUUUUAUUUAAGUAAUGGGGACCAGGGGUGAUAUGUCAUCUUCUAAUGACUCUUGUUAAAUUUCUUUUGUUUCCAUGGAAACCAUUUGGAAAUUCUUAAGAGUAUUUCUGCUAUGCAUAAAGCUACUGAUUUUUCAUUAUGGGUACAUCUACUUUCACAAUACAAAUUAAAUCUGUCAUCCAAACUGCUGUAACCCUUUCAAUUGUCUUAAAUCUACCAUAAAGUGUCAACAUGGUGUCAACUUUAAUGCUGCUUUAUAAAUGCUUUAAUCAUGAUCUGUACUAGUAUUUGUGGGCUGAUAAUCCUUUUUUUUGUAUAUGCAAAUACAUUUGUAGUAACUACUUGAACUAAUGUAUAUAAAAAAUAAACAGGAGGGGGAAACAUUCUAGUUUUAAACCUAUUUAACAGCCUUUUUUAUUGUAACCAUAUUACAUUUGCCUCUGAAAUGAAGGUAAUUUCGAACCUUUGUUGAUUAUUUAUGAUUAGGAUUGGAUGGACAUAGAUUUACUUGAUAUUUUUGCAUUUUGUCUGGAUUGAAUUGUGUGAAUAAACAAAGCUGAAAUAGUGCUUGUAUUCAUGUAAAACAAACAAACCAAAACUUAUGUGAAUGUGUAUUGAAAGGCCUUACUAAUCUUAAAAAUAAUACAGACAUCGUUAUUAAAGAAGCCGAUAAGGGAGGUGAUAUUGUUAUUAUGAAUAAAAAAAAUUAUCAAAGAAAGAUAAUUGUCCAUUUUUAAAUGAUCAAUAUUAUAGCAAUUCUAGUAAAAGAGUAGAAAAAUCUGUCCAGAAUAAGGUUAAGAAAUUGUUAGAUUAGUAUCAUAACGAAAUUCUAGACAAAGAAAAGGACGAUCUUACCGAUUUGAACCUUUUUCUAAGACCACUAAUUUUUAUGGCCUGCCCAAAGUACAUAAAAGUAAAUGUAUUCAAAAGGAAAUUAAUGAUCAAAAUUGUGAAGUUAUUUCUAUUGAAAGUUGAAAAGAGAUGACGAGAUGAUGAGUUUAUCAUUGAUGCAUUGAAGUUGGUUAUUACCAAUAACAUUUUUUAUUUUGAUGGAUCUUAUUAUUCACAAAAAAAGUUGUAAGCCAUGGCCACUCAGGUAGCCCCUACUUAUGCAACUCUUGUUUGGGGAUUUUUAGAGAUGUUUUAUGAUAAGGUGAGAGAUACAACUGUUUUAUCAUAUUAAAAACCAGUGAAAGUCAACUUGCAGCUAUUCAUAAUUCUAAAUUCGCUUAAUGUGUCGCUCAAUUUCGCAAUGGAAAAAGGCGAAUCUAGUUUUAACCUUUCUCGAUAUAAUAAUCAAUUUAAUAUCUGGGAGAUUUGUACGAACUGGUAUCUUUUAUAAAGAUACUGAUACGCACCAAUAUUUGUAUUUGUACCAUUGUUUCCGGGAAUGAUGUUAAAACUACCCGCCUUGCUGAACUUAACAGCCAAAGUUCUAAAUUUGAUUCUGUUGUCAUCACUCCACAAGUGCGGUGACAAACGUUGCCUUACUUGCAGCGCUCUAAUAAGGCUGUUCAGUCCAGAUUACAAAGGACUAUAAAUUUA